rnacentral:rRNA from 1 species
UAGGGAAUCUUCCACAAUGGGCGCAAGCCUGAUGGAGCAACACCGCGUGAGUGAAGAAGGGUUUCGGCUCGUAAAGCUCUGUUGUUAAAGAAGAACACGUAUGAGAGCAACUGUUCAUACGUUGACGGUAUUUAACCAGAAAGUCACGGCUAACUACGUGCCUG